CCAGACUCCUACGGGAGGCAGCAGUGAGGAAUAUUGGUCAAUGGCCGGAAGGCUGAACCAGCCAAGCCGCGUGAAGGACGAAGGUGCCAAGCAUUGUAAACUUCUUUUGUCAAGGGACAAAAUCAGGCUCGAGAGCCUGACCGAGGGUACUUGAAGAAAAAGCAUCGGCUAACUCCGUGCCAGCAGCCGCGGUAAUACGGAGGAUGCGAGCGUUAUCCGGAUUUAUUGGGUUUAAAGGGUGCGUAGGCGGGCGGUUAAGUCGGGGGUAAAGCCCCGGGGCCCACCCCCGGCGAGCCGUUGAAACUGGCGUUCUUGAGUGGGCGAGAAGUAUGCGGAAUGCGUGGUGUAGCGGUGAAAUGCAUAGAUAUCACGCAGAACUCCGAUUGCGAAGGCAGCAUACCGGCGCCCAACUGACGCUGAAGCACGAAAGCGUGGGUAUCGAACAGGAUUAGAUACCCGUGUA
rnacentral:rRNA from 1 species